rnacentral:rRNA from 1 species
GAACGCUGGCGGCAGGCCUAACACAUGCAAGUCGAACGGUAACAGGAAGCAGCUUGCUGCUUGCUGACGAGUGGCGGACGGGUGAGUAAUGUCUGGGAAACUGCCUGAUGGAGGGGGGAGUAACUACUGGAAACGGUAGCUAAUACCGCAUAACGUCGCAAGACCAAAGAGGGGGACCUUCGGGCCUCUUGCCAUCAGAUGUGCCCAGAUGGGAUUAGCUUGUUGGUGGGGUAACGGCUCACCAAGGCGACGAUCCCUAGCUGGUCUGAGAGGAUGACCAGCCACACUGGAACUGAGACACGGUCCAGACUCCUACGGGAGGCAGCAGUGGGGAAUAUUGCACAAUGGGCGCAAGCCUGAUGCAGCCAUGCCGCCGUGUAUGAAGAAGGCCUUCGGGUUGUAAAGUACUUUCAGCGGGGAGGAAGGUGUUGUGGUUAAUAACCACAGCAAUUGACGUUACCCGCAGAAGAAGCACCGGCUAACUCCGUGCCAGCCGCGGC